GACGAACGCUGGCGGCGUGCCUAAUACAUGCAAGUCGAACGAACCGCGACUAAGUGCUUGCACUAAGUCAAGGUGAGUGGCGAACGGGUGAGUAACACGUGGGUAACCUACCUCAUAGUGGGGGAUAACAGUCGGAAACGACUGCUAAUACCGCAUAGGACAUAGGAUCACAUGAUCCAGUGAGGAAAGGUGGCGCAAGCUAUCGCUAAGAGAUGGACCCGCGGUGCAUUAGCUAGUUGGUAGGGUAAAGGCCUACCAAGGCGAUGAAGCAUAGCCGACCUGAGAGGGUGAUCGGCCACAUUGGGACUGAGACACGGCCCAAACUCCUACGGGAGGCAGCAGUAGGGAAUCUUCCGCAAUGGACGCAAGUCUGACGGAGCAACGCCGCGUGAGUGAAGAAGGUCUUCGGAUCGUAAAGCUCUGUUGUUAGAGAAGAACAGCGCAUAGAGUAACUGCUAUGCGUGUGACGGUAUCUAACCAGAAAGCCACGGCUAACUACGUG
rnacentral:rRNA from 1 species